rnacentral:rRNA from 1 species
GACGAACCGUCCAAACGUUAUUCGGGAUCACUGGGCUUACAGAGUUCGUAGGCGGUCUGGAAAGUUGGGUGUGAAAUCCCUCGGCUCAACCGAGGAACUGCGCUUGAAACUACCAGACUCGAGGGAGAUAGAGGAAAGCGGAACUGAUGGUGGAGCGGUGAAAUGCGUUGAUAUCAUCAGGAACACCGGUGGCGAAGGCGGCUUUCUGGGUCUUACCUGACGCUGAGGAACGAAAGCCAGGGGAGCGAUCCGG